UGGAUCCAGACUUUGAUUAUGGCUCAGGACGAACGCUGGCGGCGCGCCUAACACAUGCAAGUCGAACGAGCGAGAGAGAGCUUGCUUUCUCAAGCGAGUGGCGAACGGGUGAGUAACGCGUGAGGAACCUGCCUCAAAGAGGGGGACAACAGUUGGAAACGACUGCUAAUACCGCAUAAGCCCACGGCUCGGCAUCGAGCAGAGGGAAAAGGAGCAAUCCGCUUUGAGAUGGCCUCGCGUCCGAUUAGCUAGUUGGUGAGGUAACGGCCCACCAAGGCGACGAUCGGUAGCCGGACUGAGAGGUUGAACGGCCACAUUGGGACUGAGACACGGCCCAGACUCCUACGGGAGGCAGCAGUGGGGAAUAUUGCACAAUGGGGGAAACCCUGAUGCAGCGACGCCGCGUGGAGGAAGAAGGUCUUCGGAUUGUAAACUCCUGUUGUUGAGGAAGAUAAUGACGGUACUCAACAAGGAAGUGACGGCUAACUACGUGCCAGCAGCCGCGGUAAAACGUAGGUCACAAGCGUUGUCCGGAAUUACUGGGUGUAAAGGGAGCGCAGGCGGGAAGACAAGUUGGAAGUGAAAUCCAUGGGCUCAACCCAUGAACUGCUUUCAAAACUGUUUUUCUUGAGUAGUGCAGAGGUAGGCGGAAUUCCCGGUGUAGCGGUGGAAUGCGUAGAUAUCGGGAGGAACACCAGUGGCGAAGGCGGCCUACUGGGCACCAACUGACGCUGAGGCUCGAAAGUGUGGGUAGCAAACAGGAUUAGAUACCCUGGUAGUCCACACUGUAAACGAUGAUUACUAGGUGUUGGAGGAUUGACCCCUUCAGUGCCGCAGUUAACACAAUAAGUAAUCCACCUGGGGAGUACGCCGGCAACGGUGCAACUCAAAUGAAUUGACGGA
rnacentral:rRNA from 1 species